AGUGAACGCUGGCGGUAGGCCUAACACAUGCAGGUCGAGCGGCAGCACAGUAAGAGCUUGCUCUUACGGGUGGCGAGUGGCGGACGGGUGAGGAAUACAUCGGAAUCUACUUUUUCGUGGGGGAUAACGUAGGGAAACUUACGCUAAUACCGCAUACGACCUACGGGUGAAAGCAGGGGAUCUUCGGACCUUGCGCGAUUGAAUGAGCCGAUGUCGGAUUAGCUAGUUGGCGGGGUAAAGGCCCACCAAGGCGACGAUCCGUAGCUGGUCUGAGAGGAUGAUCAGCCACACUGGAACUGAGGCACGGUCCAGACUCCUACGGGAGGCAGCAGUGGGGAAUAUUGGACAAUGGGCGCAAGCCUGAUCCAGCCAUACCGCGUGGGUGAAGAAGGCCUUCGGGUUGUAAAGCCCUUUUGUUGGGAAAGAAAAGCAGCAGGUUAAUACCCCGCUGUUCUGACGGUACCCAAAGAAUAAGCACCGGCUAACUUCGUG
rnacentral:rRNA from 1 species